AAGGGAGCGGUUCUGGUCAUGUUAAUUAAUCUAGGAUGUACAUAUUAAAGUUCUUCUAUUUUAGAAAAAACUCAUCGAUCAAGCAUAGUUGAUCCAUUGCUUAUAAUGGUUAAUGUUUAGUUCGUUUAUCUAACAAUAAUAAAUCAUGAAAAUUAAUUGCUUUUGUGCAUAAGAUGGUAAUGCCUACAGUAGGUGGAGCGGUCGCUGGAAGGGGCUAAUUGCACAAUCUUGGAGAUCCAACGGAGACUGAGAGCAAACUUUGAACACAAAAAAGAUACCUGCUGGAGUCGUUGGUGUCGUUGGGUGGAGUCAAUUGGACAAUUGAGGAUAUCCAACAGAGAUUUGGCGACAUCCAAGGGGCGCCCAUAUGAAGGUGAACAUGAAGUGAAACUUGGAAGCGCUUGCAAGUCUGACGGAAUUGGAAAUUCAGAUUGGUUUCAGGUGUGCGUGAUGGAAUUAUGUUCUAAAAAUUGUGUUACAUUACAUGUGUGCGCCCAUCCAGUCUCUGAUCUA